rnacentral:misc_RNA from 1 species
GAUGAAGAACGUAGCGAAAUGCGAUACUUGGUGUGAAUUGCAGAAUCCCGUGAACCAUCGAGUCUUUGAACGCAAGUUGCGCCCGAAGCCAUUAGGCCGAGGGCACGCCUGCCUGGGUGUCGCACAUCGUUGCCCCAAUGCCUCAGCCCUGUUGCAAGGCAUGGCAAAGGGGCGAAUGUUGGCUUCCCGCGAGCGAUGCCCUCACGGUUGGCUGAAAAUCGAGUCCGUGGUGGAGUGUGCCGCGAUGGAUGGUGGUUGAGUAAAAGCUCGAGACCAAUCAUGGGUAACUCCACCAGAAUUGGGCUCGGUGACCCACAUGCGUCCCUUGGAUGCUCCCUAAGGAGACCUCAGGUCAGGCGGGGCUACCCGCUGAGUUUAAGCAUAUCAAUAAGCGGAGGA